rnacentral:lncRNA from 1 species
AUGCUCUUUGGCUGAUUUUAACUGUUAGGAAGAAGAGAGCGAUUCUAGGGUUUACGGUUUGAUAGCCUUUAUACCUGCGUGUGAAAGUUGAUAAUAAGUUAGUUCUUUGUUUUUUUUUUUUUUAAGUUACGUUAGUGGGUAGUGGGGAGUUUUUUUUUGGUUACAGGUAGUGGGGAGUUAUAAGUCUUAACUUCCCAUAUAUCCAUUUUUCAUAAUUAUCUGCACUGUUUUUUUAUUUUUUAAUUUCUUUUUGCUUUUUAUUAUAAUAACCUUUUAAGUUAGUUGUUUUAAUCAACUCAUUAAGAAUAGUUUAGGCAAAAUAUAAUUUGGUGAAUUUCUUAAAGGGAAAAUUCUCACUAGCCCUAAAUCUAGACAUUUUUUCCCCACUAACAAAAUGAGAUUCUAAAAUUCCCAUCAACCUAAUAGACUCUUAGAGACUAUUCCCACUAACAAAAUUUUUGACUUGUCAUAUUUUUUUCUUGACCAAAUUACCCUCCUCUAUUAUCUUCCUCUCCAAUUGACUUCCACCUUUCUCUCAUCCCACGUUCAGGUCUACUUUAAUCUCUCUCUCUCUCUCUCUCUCUCUCUCUCUCUCUCCGCUACCAACUUCGGCGCUGGCUGCUCGCUCUGCUUCGGCCUAGCUUCCGUCUCAUGCACCUCGCCGUCGGUGUUAUUAUUCGCUUCAGAUUCCAUGGCUUCUGAACCUCCACCUCCUCUGUCGUAGCCGCGGCGGCGAAGUCGAAAGCCUUAGUGUCGUUGUCGUUGUCGUCGUCGCUCUCCUCGCUUGCUUUCUCGUUACUCUAUGGAACCUUCUCAGAGCAGGAAGCGACCGAGAAGCGGUAGCCCGUGGUGCGGGAUCCGACGCGGUGAUGCUGCGACUGAGACUCUGAAUCGUUGCGGUCAUCGUCAAUGGAAGGCUCGGGCUCGGCUGAGAUAGGGCGACGGUAGCGGUGGUUGGUGUUUGUGUGGUUCUUGCUCCCCCAUUUCACGAAGGAUAGCGGGAAGUUGUGCAAUGGCGGCUUCACCAGCACUGCUGCCAUUGCUCCAUCGUCGUCUUCUUCAACCAACACAAACCACCAUUUGUGCUUCACAUCAAUCAAUCUCUACGUACACGCCUACUAAUAUGAUUUGGGAGAUUUGAAAUGUUUAGGGUUUUUAGAGAAAUUAGGGAUUUUGAAAUUGGUAAUGUGAAUUGUGAGCGGUGGUAGGAAUCGCUGUGGUGAGGGAUUUGGCGGUGUAGAAGGUACGGUUGCUGUUGGUGAGGGGUUUAGCGAUGGAGAAAACGCAGGUAGUCUGCUCCUACUGCCCCUAGUAGACCCUCCUAGUACCCCUAGUAGGCCAUCCUACUGCCCCCAGUAGACUCUCCUACUGUCCCCAAUAGACCAUCCUACUGACCCCAGUAGACCCUCCUACUGCCCUCAGUAAACCCUUGGACAGACCUCCUACUGCCCCAGUAGACCCCUCUACUGCCCCCAGUAUACCCUCCUACUUCCCCCAGUAGACCCCCUUACUGCCCCCAAUAGAUCCCCUAGCUUUCGUCGGAGCCGGUCAACGGUGGCUGGAGCCCGGUCAACCGUCGUCGGAGUUCGGUUAACGGCCCCCGGAUCCCGGUUAACGUCAUUGGUCAUGGGAAUCCGGUCAUAGAAACUUAGAGCAUCUUUAGCAAACUCUUUACUUUGGCUCCUUAGCUAUUUUAGAAAGCGUGUUUAGCUUUUUUGGAUAUUUUUAGAGCUGCAGUAGACUAACCAAAGUUUAGCUAUUAUAACUUUUAGCUAUCUAUAUCGUUAGCUAAAUAUAGCAAGCGAGAUGACUUAGACGAGGCUCUCUAUAAUUUAAUACAUUCAUUUUAAGAUAUUUUAUGUAAUACAUAAAUAUAUUUAAACUAUUUAAUUUCAAUUUUAAGAAUAAUAUUAAUUUAAUACUAGCUAAAAUAGAGAACAUUGAUGUAGACGUUUUUCUAAAGUGGCUAGCCAAAAUGACAUUUUAGCUGUUUUGACUAAAAUUUUAACUUAAAAAUGGCUAGCAUUGCUAAAGAUGCUUUUAUAAUGGUCUAUUGUAGUUUAU